rnacentral:lncRNA from 10 species
AUAGUGAAGGCAGACCACAGGCUGGCAAAUGGAAAUGCAUGAUGCUUCCUAAGGCCUAGGCUCAGACCUGGCAACUGUCAAUUCCACUUUCCUCAUCUUAUAAAAUUCUGGUUCUCAAUGACACCAGCAUCAUUACUGAUUUGCUUUCUACUCACACACAAAUAGCCUCCAAAUAAGAAUGCCAACACUAUCACCAAAAAGGAAAAAUUAUCUUCGUUUCCCCAAGGCCUGCAGCUUUCAUAAGAAGGCAGGAGUUUUUGGAGGAGAGCGUCGUGUUCGUCUGUCUGUAGACCCUGAGACACUGAUUUACAGCAAGACUCACGGUGACAAG